rfam:Felis catus isolate Cinnamon breed Abyssinian chromosome A3, whole genome shotgun sequence.
GCCUAGCUGGCUCAGUCGAUAGAGCAUGUGACUCUUGAUCUCAGUGUUGUGAGUUCAAGCCCCAUGUUGGGUG